AUUGAACGCUGGCGGCAGGCUUAACACAUGCAAGUCGAACGCGUGGCGGACGGGUGAGUAAUGCUUGGGAAUCUGUCUUAUGGAGGGGGAUAACGACGGGAACCUGUCGCUCAUACCGCGUACCAUAGGAUGAGCCCAAGUGGGAGUAGGUCGUUGGUGGGGUAAUGGCCUACCAAGCCGACGAUCGCUAGCUGGUCUGAGAGGAUGAACAGCCACACCGUGACUGAGACACGGCCCGGACUCCUACGGGAGGCAGCAGUGGGGAAGAUUGCGCAAUGGGGGCAACCUGACGCAGCCAUGCCGCGUGAAUGAAGAAGGCCUUCGGGUUGUAAAGUUCUUUCGGUGACGAGGCGUUAAUCACAGAAGAAGCACCGGCUAACUCCGUGCCAGCAGCCGCGGUAAUAC
rnacentral:rRNA from 1 species